CCUACGGGAGGCAGCAGUGGGGAAUAUUGCACAAUGGGGGAAACCCUGAUGCAGCGACGCCGCGUGAGUGAAGAAGUACUUCGUUAUGUAAAGCUCUAUCAGCAGGGAAGAAAAUGACGGUACCUGAGUAAGAAGCCCCGGCUAACUACGUGCCAGCAGCCGCGGGAAUGCGUAGGGGGCAAGCGUUAUCCGGAUUUACUGGGUGUAAAGGGAGCGUAGACGGCAGUGCAAGUCUGGAGUGAAAGGCGGGGGCUCAACCCCCGGACUGCCCUGGAAACUGUACGGCUGGAGUGCAGGAGAGGUAAGUGGAAUUCGUAGGGUAGCGGUGAAAUGCGUAGAUAUUAGGAGGAACACCAGUGGCGAAGGCGGCUUACUGGACUGUAACUGACGUUGAGGCUCGAAAGCGUGGGGAGCGAACAGGAUUAGAUACCCCGGUAGUC
rnacentral:rRNA from 1 species